AUUCUAUCAACAGAAAGAAACCCACCUGGGAAAAUUAUGUUUCAUUUGAACCCUGAAUUUACUGUCUGUACUAAUUGGGUUCUCUCUGGAAUUGCAGAAAGAUUACAUUUUCCUGCUUGUCUCAUCGAAACAACACGAGGACGCACGGUGAAACUUUAUUGCAGUUUAAUAUAUGAGCACAAUAAAGAUGAUAGAUGACCGUUUUCUUUACCUGUAUGAGCAUGUUUUCAAGUACAUAUAAAUUUAGCUGGUUGCUCUCUCUUUGCAUAUUUUAGCUUAUUUUCUAGUGACCUUGAGAGGGUUUCUCAUCUGGGGUAUACUGCAAUUGACUUGAAGGAAAAACAUUCUUGCUAGAUAGAUUUUCAGACACCCAAAAUUUCAUAAAAUGAAACUUUAAUGCAAUUGGGUUUAAACAUAAAGUAAUUAACCUACCUUGUUAAGUUUAGAUACCCUUCUAAUAUUUUUGGAAGAAAA
rnacentral:misc_RNA from 1 species